rnacentral:lncRNA from 1 species
AUACCGAGUGUGCCUACGUUCCAGCCCUCCACGCCCGUCCCUGAGCGCCUGGAAGCUGUGCAGCGCUACAUCAGGGAGCUGCAGUAUCCUCCCUGGUUCAGGGUCAUGGCCACCAUCUGGCUGGCAUGCUGGUCCAAACACCCAAGUGGGGCUUUUUUCAGACAGGGCUGGAGAGGCAUCAGCAGAGCAGCCGGAUCCCACAGCUCCCAAGAGUGCCACUCACAGGUGACCUCUGUGUCCAUCUCAUGGUGCCAGCACAGCCUGACUGCUGGAGGGUUUUAUCUGAUGAAUGCCAGACCCACUCGGGCCUCCCNCUCCCUACCCACCCCCCGCCCCCACUCCUCCUCCUCUGCAUGACAGGGCAAUGUCUUCUGAGCGACCCGCUGGUGGGAUGGCCAUGUCUCGGGCCGCCAGCACAGACCCUCCUCUGCUAUCCAUCCAGACCCAGUAGGAGAAAGGAGCCGCUCCCGCGGGGCUGUUUAAAAGCUGUUUCAUAAGCAAUAAGUGGGGGGCAGAUGGAGGAGAACAAGGAUUUGACACUCCAGGAGGUACCUUCCACAUCUUGGAACAUUCUCCUAGUUCUUUGCCUUUCUCUCCCCCGGUAGGAGGCCAGCUGCCUAGCAUGGAAAGACCUGGCCCCUCUGAGCCUGGUUCCCCGGGGUCCCUGCUCUGGGCCUCUCCAUCCCCCUGUGCCUGCUCAGAGCUGUGUGUCCUGAGUCCUCUCCCUAGGCCCUUCUAGCUGCACAUGUGACAGGGAUGGAAGGACCAGGCAUGGGUCCUGAGCAGGAGAAAAGACAAGCUCGUUAAUGGAAAUUGGGUCCGGUCCUUCCAUUUCCCAGUGGGGAAGCUGUGGCCCAAAGAGGGGAUGCCUUUGGCUCAGGAGCACCGCCCAGCACUUUGGUUGCGUUGGACCCCUGCUCCAGCCCGGUCUCUGUUCACGCUGCUUCUCGGCUGGUUGGAAAAUGGGAGUGUGCUGCAGAGGGCUGUCCACUGCUCAGUCUCCCCUCAGGUGCUCUCCUCUGCUCUCAGAUGUUCCAGUCUUCAGCAUCCUCCAAGGUACCUUGUGGAAGCACUUUGUGGGGUUCUUACCCAGCCUGCACCCCAGGAGUGCUGGGCCCCAGAACUUGGGGAUGGGUGGGGACAGAAGGGCACAGCUCUCCCAGAACAAGCUAGGAAGCCCUUAACUGGCACCUGCAGGUACAAUCACACAGGGACACAGUUCUUUGAAAUUAAGAAGAGCAGACCUCUGACAGGGUAAGUUUGGGGAACACCCUGCCCCUCUGCAUCCAGGCUAAUAGUGCCCCCAGGUGGGCUGGAGCCCCUGGGGAGAGCCUCUGGGCGGAAGCUUAUGAGGCAGGGAGGGACACUUCCCAGGGGAGCCAGCCAGUAGGGGCAAGUACCACUGUGGGGCUCUAAGGUUGUCGUACAGGGGGACCCUCUGGCCGAGAUGAAUAUCCAGGGCCUCCUUGAUGGAAACCCCAACAUCUGUGCUGAGCUAUGUGGGGUGAUGGGCAGCCCCCCCCCCCCCCCCCCAGUUUUCCUUGGUGAUGACAGAGGGUGGUCCCAGGUAGAUGUCCGUACGUGAGCCGCCUUUUUUUUUUUUUCUUUAAUAAGAAUUGAGCCUGACAGGAGAGAGCCAGCCCUCCCGUUCUCUCCUUUCUCUGCAACUGCCUGCAUCCUCCCCGUUGCAGGGCACCUGUAUGUUGCCCCACUUGCCUUGCUGGACUCCAUCCUAGUCAUUUAGUACAAGGCCCAGGGUCUGAGAAGCAGGGACCCCUGGGAGAGAAGCUUGCAUCUCUCUGUUGCCCUUCCUUCACCCCAUGCAGACCUCUAGCUGGUUUCACCCCAGAGAAGCCCUAAGGGCAGAGCAGAGUGAAGAGUGAUCGCCACAGCUGGGUCUGGGGGCUCAGUCGAAAGCUACGUGCAGGCUUAAAAUCCUGUGUUUCAGAAAUUAACUUGAAUUUUACAUCUUCACAUAUAGUCUGUCCAUGUUUGCUUUCUUACGAAAACUACUUAAAAUGGUUUGUUUGCUAAACUGUUUCGUUACCCCCUCUCCAAACCCCUGGGUAGAAUCCAGCCUCCCUAACACAGAAGCUUUGCUCUUGUUGUCCCGUGGUUGCCGUGUGCUGGGAGCCCAGCUCCAGCCUCGGUGGGAUGGUGGGAUGUAGGAAUCCAACACCCUCCUGAGCAAAGUCAGUGGCCGGGCUGCAUUCCCAGGCCUGAGAGCAGCAUUUGGCGAGGAGGAAGGAAACAGCCUCAGGGAUAGGCUGUCUUGAAGUGGCCUGAAUUGCAAGUUCAGGAGCAGACCAGGGAGUCGCUGGGCAGUUAACUGCCUGAGAUCCUGUGUCUCUGCCCUGGGCAGCUGGCCAGCUGUGGGGGAGCAGUUGUAAUCAAUUACAAGCUCUUUGGAGAAGCCAUGGUUGAGUCAGGGGUGUUCACUGUGCUCCGGAAGGGACAAGAGCAAUGCCAACGUCCCCAGCAUCCUUGGUAUGCUUUCCCACCGGCCCCUGCAACACCGUCUUCAUAGAAGGCUCCCAGCCUGGUGGGUGUCAACGAUCUGCCUACCAAGGCACAACCCCCAUUCAUGCUCCCCUCUCCCAGAAGUCUUUGGAGCCGGAGUCUGGGGUGGGAGAAGGAAGUGAAAGGAGGGGAGGGGAGGAGAGAAGGAAGGGGACUCCUUCUUUAUUUUCAGUGGCUGCCUCUUUUCUCCCCUUUUAGGCUCAGGACAGACUUGGAGGGGUGGGCAGGUGCUGGGCCCGAGCUGGAAGGGAGGGAGCUGUCAGUCCUGUCGCACUUCUAGACUUGCUUCCUCCUUCUGACCACCCCCUGCCAGACUGGAGAAUCUGUCCUCAGUGUUCUGCCUCCCUCCCCGCAGGCUGAUGGACCUGGCCAAGGAGAUGACCAAAGAGGCUCUGCCAAUCAAAUGCCUGGAAGCCGUGAUCCUAGGAAUGUAUCCUUCCUUGGCCCUUGGAGACUAGGGGCAGGUGGGCUUAGCCCUUCUGAGCCUCAGCUUCCUCCUCUGGAAGAGGAGGGCUGGAUGAGCUUCAGAGCCCUCCCAGCAGUCAUGAACUUGGUCCCAAAGUGAAGGAGCUCGAGGGGGAGCUCAGUCCCCAACGACU